GAACCGUGCGAACGUUGUUCGGAUUCACUGGGCUUAAAGGGCGCGUAGGCGGGCACGUCCGUCGGGAGUGAAAUCCCCCGGCUCAACCGGGGAACAGCUCCCGAGACCGCGUGCCUCGAGGGGGGUAGGGGUCGACGGAACUUCCGGUGGAGCGGUGAAAUGCGUAGAUAUCGGAAGGAACGCCGGUGGCGAAAGCGGUCGACUGGACCCCUUCUGACGCUGAGGCGCGAAAGCCAGGGGAGCAAACGGGAUUAGAUACCCCGGUAGUCCUGGCCCUAAACGAUGGGUACUAGGUUGUGGACUUGACAUGGGUUCACAGCCGAAGCAAAAGUGCUAAGUACCCCGCCUGGGGAGUAUGGUCGCAAGGCUGAA
rnacentral:rRNA from 1 species